rnacentral:rRNA from 1 species
GAUGAACGCUAGCGGCAGGCUUAACACAUGCAAGUCGAGGGGUAUGGUUCUUCGGAACCAGAGACCGGCGCACGGGUGCGUAACGCGUAUGCAAUCUACCUUUUACAGAGGGAUAGCCCAGAGAAAUUUGGAUUAAUGCCCCAUGGUAUAAUAGAAUCGCAUGGUUUUAUUAUUAAAGUUCCAACGGUAAAAGAUGAGCA